AUAUUGAACAAUGGGGGAAACCCUGAUCCAGCGAUGCCGCGUGAGGGAAGAAGGUUUUCGGAUUGUAAACCUCUGUGGAGGGGGACGAUAAUGACGGUACCCCUUUAGGAAGCACGGCUAACUCGUGCCAGCAGCCGCGGUAAUACGUAGGUGGCGAGCGUUGUCCGGAAUUACUGGGUGUAAAGGGAGUGUAGGCGGGAAAGCAAGUCAGAAGUGAAAACUAUGGGCUCAACCCAUAGCCUGCUUUUGAAACUGUUUUUCUUGAGUGAAGUAGAGGCAAGCGGAAUUCCUAGUGUAGCGGUGAAAUGCGUAGAUAUUAGGAGGAACACCAGUGGCGAAGGCGGCUUGCUGGGCUUUUACUGACGCUGAGGCUCGAAAGCGUGGGGAGCAAACAGGAUUAGAUACCCUGGUAGUCCACGCCGUAAACGAUGAUAACUAGGUGUGGGGAGCGAACCUUUCCGUGCCGGAGUAAACACAAUAAGUUAUCCACCUGGGGAGUACGGCCGCAAGGCUGAAACUCAAAGGAAUUGACGGGGGCCCGCACAAGCAGUGGAGUAUGUGGUUUAAUUCGAAGCAACGCGAAGAACCUUACCGGGUCUUGACAUCGAGUGAAAGAUGUAGAGAUACAUUCCUCUCUUCGGAGACACGAAGACAGGUGGUGCAUGGUUGUCGUCAGCUCGUGUCGUGAGAUGUUGGGUUAAGUCCCGCAACGAGCGCAACCCUUAUCAUUAGUAGCCAGCGAGUGAAGUCGGGCACUCUAGAGAGACUGCCGGGGAUAACCCGGAGGAAGGCGGGGAUGACGAA
rnacentral:rRNA from 1 species